GUCCUAGACCUCCCCCCGCCCCCGCGCCCCAGUUCUUCGCUUGCUCUACGCCCCGGCUUCUGAAAACCACACCCGCGAGGACGCAGCCCUUCCCGUCGCGGAGUCCUCGGGAGCACUGGUCUUCCGCUCUCCCGGCCGAGCGCAGACCGCCACCUCUGUUGACCGUCACUCAGCCGAGUGAGACCCUGUCUCACUGAAGCUGCGGCUGGGUCCACGCCGUCCGGGAGGCUCGCGGACGUUGCAGUGCACGAUUAACAAAGUCCUCAAAGGGAAGCGUUUUGCCGAGAGGUAAAAAGAACAAUGACAACAAUGACAACAACAACAAACAGCAGGAGCACUACCAGGCAUCAAAGUUGAGUUAAAAAACGAUUGAGCACGGGAAAAAGCAUCUUGAUGGGUGUAUUGCAUCAGAGGGAGACGACUUUGAAGGUGACUGAAGUUUAAACAUGACUGUACCCCGCACCCAGCACAGCACCCAGCAUACAGCAGGUCUCACUGAAUGAAUGGCUGGAAGAAUGCAUGUCUACGGUUUGGCAACAAGUGGUGACCCUGGGCGCAGAGAACAGUCAGAAGGGCGUCCCCCAAGAUGGCACUGCCACCCAAAACAACAAAGACCCUAAGCCUGUACGGUUUCCAGCGCGAAGUUCAAAUCUGCGAGCCAACAGCCUCCUCCUAUAACAAAUCAGCCCUGUUGUACCUCCAGUAAAAUGUAACACAACCUCGGCCCACCCUAUCCCCACUCCACCCCCUCCCCAAUAGAACACUAACAUGACCCUUCCUG